rnacentral:lncRNA from 11 species
CAUGGCUUGAGGUUCUGGGUUUUAGCCUGCCACUUUUGGACUCUCGUUCGUUGAGGUGUUCCUGCGGGAAUCUUUGUAAAUCAUAUUCUUGAUUUUAGGUGUUGGCAUGCCAGCUGAUAUCGGAACUGGAGAUGGGCCAGAGAUGUUACUGCCUUGGUCCUUUCAUUGUUGGCUGCUACUUCCUGGUGGAUGUCAGGAAAUGAUGACAAGAACUAGAAAUGAUGACGAGAACUAGAAGAAAUGAAUGAUUAAGCUGCAUUGCAUUCCAGGUAUAAAUUGACCUGCCAGUGCCAAGGCAAUUUUGAU